rnacentral:rRNA from 1 species
UACGAAGGGUGCAAGCGUUACUCGGAAUCACUGGGCGUAAAGCGUGCGUAGGUGGUUUGUUAAGUCUGUUGUGAAAGCCCCGGGCUCAACCUGGGAAUGGCAAUGGAUACUGGCAAGCUAGAGUGCGGUAGAGGGUAGUGGAAUUCCCGGUGUAGCGGUGAAAUGCGUAGAGAUCGGGAGGAACACCAGUGGCGAAGGCGGCUACCUGGACCAGCACUGACACUGAGGCACGAAAGCGUGGGGAGCAAACAGG